rnacentral:rRNA from 1 species
GACGAACGCUGGCGGCGUGCUUAACACGUGCAAGUCGAACGGAAAGGCCCUGCUUUUGUGGGGUGCUCGAGUGGCGAACGGGUGAGUAACACGUGAGUAACCUGCCCUUGACUUUGGGAUAACUUCAGGAAACUGGGGCUAAUACCGGAUAGGAGCUCCUGCUGCAUGGUGGGGGCUGGAAAGUUUCGGCGGUUGGGGAUGGACUCGCGGCUUAUCAGCUUGUUGGUGGGGUAGUGGCUUACCAAGGCUUUGACGGGUAGCCGGCCUGAGAGGGUGACCGGCCACAUUGGGACUGAGAUACGGCCCAGACUCCUACGGGAGGCAGCAGUGGGGAAUAUUGCACAAUGGGCGGAAGCCUGAUGCAGCAACGCCGCGUGCGGGAUGACGGCCUUCGGGUUGUAAACCGCUUUCGCCUGUGACGAAGCGUGAGUGACGGUAAUGGGUAAAGAAGCACCGGCUAACUACGUG